rnacentral:rRNA from 1 species
UACGAAGGGGGAGCUAGCGUUGCUCGGAAUCACUGGGCGUAAAGCGCACGUAGGCGGUUUCUUAAGUCAGGGGUGAAAUCCUGGAGCUCAACUCCAGAACUGCCUUUGAUACUGGGAGACUUGGAGUCCGGGAGAGGUGAGUGGAACUGCGAGUGUAGAGGUGAAAUUCGUAGAUAUUCGCAAGAACACCAGUGGCGAAGGCGGCUCACUGGCCCGGUACUGACGCUGAGGUGCGAAAGCGUGGGGAGCAAACAGGG